rnacentral:rRNA from 1 species
GUGCCAGCAGCCGCGGUAAUACGAGAGGCCCAAACGUUAUUCGGAAUUACUGGGCUUAAAGAGUUCGUAGGCGGCGCGGAAAGUAGGGUGUGAAAGCCCUCGGCUUAACCGAGGAAUUGCGCUCUAAACUACCGUGCUUGAGGAACCUAGAGGUGAGCAGAACUGAUGGUGGAGCGGUGAAAUGCGUUGAUAUCAUCAGGAAUACCGGAGGCGAAGGCGGCUCACUGGGGGUUUUCUGACGCUGAGGAACGAAAGCCAGGGUAGCGAACGGGAUUAGAUACCCCAGUAGUCC